UUUGCAGCUCAGACACCAUAUUGAACUUUGAUUUGCACAUUAGUAACCAGAUAGUAACUUAGAUAAUUAGAUAGUUACUCGAAGCUACGAACAUGAGUCUGACCAAACUGCGGGAGGCAGUGGAAGACAGGAGUGCCUGGCGUGCUGUGGUCCAUGGGGUCAUGAAGAGUCGGACAACGACUAAACAACAACAACAACAACCUUAGAUAGUUAUAAACCUGCCUUCAUUUUGCUCCUAUGACUGCUGCUUCAAGGCCUUGAUUAUGCAAGGUGUGAAACUGCGCUUCUCUGAGCAAAAUACACCUCUGUUGAGGAGACACAUAUAAAGGAGCCUCUGGAGCGGACCCGCAGCGACUCCAAACAGCCAAGACUUACCCCAGGGAGCGUCUUCUGUUCAUGUAGCGCUGUCUGAGCUUUGAUGGCCGAAUCUCGGGCACAGUAUGUAAGGAAGGCGCAACCUGAAAUGGAGAGGGCGUGCAGUGGUAUCAAACACGUGAACAUCCUUCAGCGGAGAGGAAAGGAGGAAAAAUAUGUGCGGAGAUCGGGAAUCUACAGAAUCCAGCCACUCCUUCCCCCAAGAGACACAAAAGGACAAGGCAGAGAGGGACAGAUCCUGAAUGUGGAGUGGAGCCAAGACGGGCAAAAGGAAUCCUAGGUGAACACACCUUGUUUUGUUCCGCUGAGCUUGCUCAACGUGCAUAACAAUGCGAGAAGAGCCCUUCCUCUGGAUCAGGCCAAUGGGGGCUCAUCCUGCCCAGCAGCCUGUUCUCAAAGUGGCCCCUCAGAUGCCCCAUUGGAAAGCUGCAAAAGCAGGACGUGAGUGCAGCAAAACUCUUCCCCUUACUGUGGUUUCCAGCAAAUGGCAACUCAGACCCAUUACUGUCUUGAGGGGCAGUUGGGGCUCGUUCAUCUGGGAAGGAGAGGGAAAACUCUGAUCCCAAACCUCUGCUGCUUUGCAGGAUAUCUUUGGGAGAAGAAACAGCUCAAGAAUAAACCCAACAAAAAUCUGGACCGGAGUCCCUAAGGCGGUUGGACGGCGUCUUGUGUGCCUCCUUCCGGCAACUCCUGCAGCCAAGCUGGUCUUGUUCUGCUUUCUUUUGGAGCGAGGCUGAGAGGGGGGGGGUCUUGUCAUCUGGACAGCCAGGGACCUCCAAACAAACUGCCCAGGCUUGGACCACGUGGUGGUCACUUUGGUGCUUCUAACACAGCAAAAACAACACGGGAGGCAACCGUUGCAUGUUAUCGGUCUCUGCAGCCACGGCAGCCGCUGCGAUUCUCCAGUGCUUUGACUUCACCGCCAGAGGGACACUCUUUUGAGAACAACAGAUGGCAACAACCACUGCCUCCAACCAUGGAGGGAGAAGAGGCCCAAUGCGAUCCGUAGCCACUGAUCUGUCCACGAGCCUAAGAGCGUCAGAAGAACCUGGCUGCCAGGUCAGGCCAAAGGGAACCCCUUCUGCUCUCACAGUGGCCAACCACAUGCCCCAAAAACCCACAAGCAGGAACAGAGCAUGACAUCAGCUCUCCCCACGGGUGGUCAGAGGCAUGCUCCCUUUGGCAGAGCAUGGUGGCAGACAUCCAUAUUGCACCGUUGGAAAUGGCUGGAAGCGUAAGAAAGGACUCCCUUUGGAAGAAAACAUUGUCCAGGCCCAUAAAAACAUAUUAUUCAACAUUUUACUUGCAGAGCUUUCUCCGAAACAAACCAGAAACAUCAAACGAUGAUGCAUCCAAAAAUAUUCAUGCAGUAUCUUAAGCUGUCGGGCACGGGCUCAGUAUCUUCGAAUAUAUUUUUAAAAAUCCAAACAGACUUAUAAGCAGAGGUCUGUCUCUCUCCCCACAACCUGCACCCAUCCUUAGGCUGUUUACUUGGAGAGCUUCAUUUACCAAGGACACGUCUCCCUUUCAAAAUGGCAAUAUGCAAUUGAGAACCUUAAUCCCCUAAUUCAGGGGUUCCCAACAAAAUUUUCUCGAGGACCCCUCAUCGAGCCGCUAUUGUGACAAGGACCCCCAUUAAUUCCUAAUCCUAAAAUUAAAAAGUGAGAGCCAAAUUAAGAGUCUUUUUAUAUUUUAUAUUUAUACGUUUUUUACAGUUACAACAGAGUACUCCAUCAGUAUACAGUUAGUUUUAAUUUUAAGUUCUUAAUGAGAUGAGUUAAAUCUGUCCUUUGAGUCCAUUAUUUCUGAAAUAUUAGGUUCCAAACUUGAAACUUUCACUCUGAAAUCCGACCGCAUGUCGAGCCGAUUCCUAUAUUUGUUUUUAAUGAAACACAUGGAAGAAAAUGCUUGCUUUGUUUACAAACACUACUGUUUGCAAAGAGGCAGCGCGCACCAGGGAGGAGGGAGGGGAAUGGAGAAGGCAGCGUACCUGCGCAGUAGCGCACAAAUGAAGCCGACGCGCGCAAACCAUCUUGGGGAGGUGAGCGUUAGAAUGCGUGCGCUGCCUCUUUGCAAAACAGUAGUGUUUGUAAAGUGCCACCUAACGGCAUACAGCAGAACUACUGCCUCUAUCUAAUUCUAGUUUUGCGCUAGACUCUGCUCAUGCAGGAAGCGGCCAAAACAAAAAAUCUGUUAUCAUACGAAAUAUAUUUAAUAUAUAUUUUAUUCUAAUAGCAUCUUGCAGACCCCUCUGGCAUAGCUCGCGGACCCCUGGGGGUCCCCGGACCACCUGUUGGGAACCACUGCCCUAAUUCAACAUCACUCGCUCACUUGCUAGAGAACAACAACCAGUUAAAAGUUCAGGGACAGCUCUUCUUGCUGUUAGUGGAUUUUCCCAGGGCUUUUCCUUUUAACAUGGUCUCAUGGAAAAACCCCAUGUUAAAACCUUUUCACCAAUACACAUUUGUGCGUCAAUUAUACCAACUAUACCUAAGAGGCCACAGCCAGCAUGCCUAGUGGCCGCUGAGAACCGUAUUCUGCACAAACCUCCUGCAAAAGAGGUUUGCAACGCAUCUCAUAAGAAGUUUUUUUGGGGGGAAAGCAGGCACUGCCGCCCUGUCCAUUUCCGAUUCCUCCGACUCAGGGAUAAAAUAAAAACAGGGGGAAGGAUCUCCACCUCACCCGUUCCAUCCACACUUCUCAUUCCUCCCUCCCUCC